rnacentral:rRNA from 1 species
AUUGAACGCUGGCGGCAAGCCUAACACAUGCAAGUCGAACGAGUGGCGGACGGGUGAGUAAUGUCUGGGAAACUGCCUAAUGGAGGGGGAUAACUACUGGAAACGGUAGCUAAUACCGCAUACCAUCGGAUGUGCCCAGAUGGGAUUAGCUAGUUGGUGGGGUAAAGGCUCACCUAGGCGACGAUCCCUAGCUGGUCUGAGAGGAUGACCAGCCACACGGGAACUGAGACACGGUCCAGACUCCUACGGGAGGCAGCAGUGGGGAAUAUUGCACAAUGGGGGAAAGCCUGAUGCAGCCAUGCCGCGUGUAUGAAGAAGGCCUUCGGGUUGUAAAGUACUUUCGGCGGAGAGGCGUUACCCGCAGAAGAAGCACCGGCUAACUCCGUGCCAGCAGCCGCGGUAAUAC